rnacentral:lncRNA from 1 species
UGCUUAAGUUGUGUUUAUAACUGCGAUGGUCAAUCAUGUCUUCAUAUGAUUUUCACUUUGUUUUUCAACCCGGUACAUGAUGUAGUUCGGUUUGUGAAUGGAUACUUUAAGCUUUUCUGCUUCAAUAACUAGAACGAAAAUACACAGCAACAUGUGACUAAAAUCAGCAGAUAAGUUUACGUUUUGUUCAGUUUUACCACUGAAGGUCACUUGUAAAUUAAAAGCAACUGCUCACAACAGAAACAUGAUUUCAGAUUAAGUUCUAUGACAAGUUUGAAAUUCUUUUUGGUUUAAGUUAUGAUUGUAAUAAGGCUUGCUAUAAGAACUGAAAUGGACUAGAAGAAAGACAAAGAUUGAAAAUUGGUUGCAGCAUACUAGUACAUUUCACUGUAUUCCCAAGUUCUAGUAUAUAUCAUUACAAUAGUGAUGAUCAAAAAACUAUAUAGUCUUAAUCCGGAAGGCUUGUGAUUCUUGAUACAUAGAAUUGUUCCUAGAGCCAAAAGAUCCAGAUUUAGUUGCCUUUAAACAGUCAGAAUAUCUUCACACUUGUAAUUGAUUGACCGUUGAAAUCAACUGCAUGUUUCUCAGAGCAUUGCAUCAUGGGUAAUUUCAACUCAUUUCCAGGGUAUUAAAGUGUUCAAAUUCAAGAUGGCAGCCCCUGUGUUAUAUUCUUUUGCGUUUCUUUGCAACCUGUUUUCACGAGCAAGAAAGUCGGCAACAUCACCCAAACCAGUGAACCAAAAUAGAAGGUCAUUAACAAACAGUGCGUUGUUUAUGAUGUUAAAUGUGGUCUUUGUGAAAUGGAUUAUCUAAUAUUGAUUUUACAAUCAACACCUUUACCAACUUGUUAACAAACUCGCCAGCUCAAGAUCUUCGAUUGGAAAGCACAUGAAAGGACAACACGCAGUCAAAAAACCAUCUAUUACAAAUAAUUUUUCCAUCCCGAAAAUGUGCAACCAGAGUAAACUAGACCUUGCAAAAAUCUGGUCAAAUGCUUUUUUUUGCGAGGCCUUGCCAAGACUUGAUCCCGAAGAAACUGAUACAGCUCAGCUCGUCAGCUGAGGCUGACGAGUGCAAAAUGUACAGCAAACAGCCAGACAGACUACAGCGAAAUUGAAGAUGAGGAACAUUCACAACCAGAAGACAGUUCCAGGAGCAGAUUUGGGAUACUGGCUAGUGCACCAAGAGCUUCCACUGGCCCUCAUCUUGGACAUCCAAAUGUACCUUCAGUACACUAACAGGAGAUAAAUUACAAAAAUGGGUAGAAAUUUUAUCAUCUGACACAACAGCCAAACUACUAGAUUAUGGUAAAUUACUCAAUGUGACCUACAUGUAUGAUCAAUGUCACAAAGUUUAGUGUGAAACACAAAAACAAGCCAAAUCUCCAGCGUGAUUUGAAUUGAAACACCCUCGACUGACUGCUUCUAACUUUGGGAAAAUUUGUUUGAAGAUGCAGAACAAAAGAGCUAAACCUGAGGUGGUUGCUCAAGAUCUCCCUUAGCCAAAGCCCUCAGUGCCUUUGUAGAUCGCAUAUUGAAAUGGGGCAGGAAAAAUGAAAGCACAGCUGUGCAAGUUUGUGAGGGGCUGCCUCAAAGGAAGCAUGUUUUUACAUACGAAUGUGGACUGUUUAUUAGUCCAGAAGAUUCUUUUUAGCUGUAACUCCGGACAGGGUGUGUUAUGUUAGCAAGGAAAAAGACCCAUGGGGUAUUGUGGAAGUAAAAUGUCCAUACACAACAAGGAACAAAAACCCAGUGAAGCAGCAGCAUCAGCAAACAAUUUUAUGAGCAAAGUAGGUGAAGAACAGGAACUUUGACACUCAAACACACACACAAGCACUAUUUUCAAGUCCAAGGUCAGAUGGCAGUAAGUGAAGCCAAAUGGUGUGACUUUGUCAUCUACGCAAUAGCUGGUGUGCCUGUUGAGCGAAUUUAUUUCGAUCCCAACUUCUGGAAAACUGCUGUAUGUUAUUUGAAUCAGUUCUAAUACAAAUUUUUUUUUGCCGAAAUAUGUUGCCGUUCAUGAUUCUGCAUCCAGACAUAUGAGGCAGUAGACAGACUAUAAGUGUUUGUUUUUAGCAGAUCUUUCAAUUUUCUACUGCUGGGAGCAAGUGCUGAAGACCCACUACUGAACCUCCCAUGCAUGAAAUUACUGAUCUUAACUCCAAAAUGGCACACAGUUAAACUAUGUAAACUAAAGAGAAGCUGGUAUUUCUUACAUGGAUUCUGACAUUGGCUAUUUGCCUUGAUGUUAGUACUUUUGUUCUCUUCAGCUGGUUUUUUCCUUUAGUAAAAGCUGAAAUGACAAGGUUAGCACGUUUACAUCAAAGUUUAUCCUUGAUCAGGAAUCUCCUGUCAGCCAUGACCUUGUGAAAGUGAAAAUGAUGUAUAAAAUUAACUUCCUUGUUUUGAACAAAAUCGUGGGCAAAUAAGUACUGAUUUUAAAACUCUUUUUGGAAUACCCUAAAAACUGACAGACGAUUAAUUAACUUGAAAGUGAUAUGAAAAUGAUAAAAAUUGGAAAACCCUAAUCUCCAAGAGAUGUUUUCCUUAAGGCCGUUCCUGCUAAAAUCUUCCAGUCAAUAGAGUUUUUUAAAAUUUUCACCGCAGUCAGAUAAUGAGUUACUUGUGUCAGAAAUGCAAAAAAAAAA